rnacentral:rRNA from 1 species
AGCGAACGUUUGCGGCGGGCCUAACACAUGCAAGUCGAACGCACUAGCAAUAGUGAGUGGCGCACGGGUGCGUAACACGUGGGUAAUCAACCCUUCAGCUUGGGAUAACGACUUGAAAGGGUCGCUAAUACCGGAUACGGCGAGAGAGGCUUCGGCAUUUCUCGAGAAAGCCUCGCAAGGGGCACUGAAGGACGAGCCUGCGGCCCAUCAGCUAGUUGGUGAGGUAAGAGCUCACCAAGGCGAAGACGGGUAGCUGGUCUGAGAGGAUGAUCAGCCACACUGGAACUGAGACACGGUCCAGACUCCUACGGGAGGCAGCAAUGGGGAAUAUUGCGCAAUGGGCGAAAGCCUGACGCAGCCACGCCGCGUGAGUGAUGAAGGCCUUCGGGUCGUAAAGCUCUGUGGGGAGAGACGAAGAAAGCCCGUGAAGAGCGGGCCUUGACGGUAUCUCCUUAGCAAGCACCGGCUAACUCCGUGCCAGCAGCCGCGGU